rnacentral:rRNA from 1 species
GACGAACGCUGGCGGCGUGCUUAACACAUGCAAGUCGAACGGAAAGACCCUGAUUUUGUGGGGUGCUCGAGUGGGGAACGGGUGAGUAACACGUGAGUAACCUGCCCUUGACUUUGGGAUAACUUCAGGAAAAUGGGGCUAAUACCGGAUAGGAGCUACUGCUGCAUGGUGGGGGUUGGAAAGUUUCGGCGGUUGGGGCUGGACUAGCGGCUUAUCAGCUUGUUGGUGGGGUAGUGGAUUACCAAGGCUUUGACGGGUAGGCGGCCUGAGAGGGUGACCGGCCACAUUGGGACUGCGAUACGGCCCAGACGCCUACGGGACGCAGCAGUCGGGAGUAUUGCACAAUGGGCGGAAGCCUGAUGCAGCAGCGCCGCGUGCGUGAUGACCGCCUUCGGGUUGUAAACCGCUUUCGCCUGUGACGAAGCGUGAGUGACGGUAAUGGGUAAAGAAGCACCGGCUAACUACGUG